UCCAAACAUCUUCUAAGGUAAAAAGUCUUUGUGAUGCUCAACAUGUUAGUUCCCUGUGUGACUCUCUAACGUUAGCUCAACAUAAAUACAUUAGAGCAGGCCUACUGAGGAGACAGGUGGUGUUUACCAUUUGAACAGCAUCGCUGCUGCUCGUGAUCGUCUUUAGUUAUAGAACAUGUUACAGCUUCACUGUGUUGCUGCAGUGCUCAGUGGAGCAUACAUCUCUCUUUCAAACGUGUGAAGAUUACAAGCAGUCAGUUUCACUCUUAUGUGCAUUUUAUAAAUACAUUUAGCUUUGUAAGCUAGUAGCAGCUAAAGUUUGUAGCCGUCCCUCAAUGUUGUUGUUUAUCCUUCUGGCUCGCUAGUUAUUUACAUUCAUGUGACAAAGUUUGUUCUCAGCUGUUAUAUUGAUCUCUGUCUUCUUUCCCUUCAAUAAUGUCAACAAGUCCUUUAAACGUGUGUCUUGUAAAAUGAAACGCUAUUUGUUCUCAUGCUUAUGACUCACAUGCCAUCAUUUAACUUUAAGAUAUGAAGACAUGUUAGACUCUGCUACAAUACAUUAUAACUAUGAGAGUCUUUAUGCUAAGCUAAGCGGGCUAAAUAUUUAGCAUACAGACGAUCUAUCUUCUUAUUUUACUCUCAGCAACAAAGUGAAGAAACAUAUUCCCCAAAUCGGAAGAGCGCCG